rnacentral:rRNA from 1 species
AGUGAACGCUGGCGGCAGGCCUAAUACAUGCAAGUCGAACGGCAGCACAGUGGAGCUUGCUCCAUGGGUGGCGAGUGGCGGACGGGUGAGGAAUACAUGGGAAUCUGCCCAGUCGUGGGGGAUAACGUAGGGAAACUUACGCUAAUACCGCAUGCGCCCUUCGGGGGAAAGCCGGGGACCUUCGGGCCUGGCGCGAUUGGAUGAGCCCAUGUUCGAUUAGCUAGUUGGCGGGGUAAAGGCCCACCAAGGCGACGAUCGAUAGCUGGUCUGAGAGGAUGAUCAGCCACACUGGGACUGAGACACGGCCCAGACUCCUACGGGAGGCAGCAGGAGGGAAUAUUGGACAAUGGGCGCAAGCCUGAUCCAGCCAUGCCGCGUGAGUGAAGAAGGCCCUCGGGUUGUAAAGCUCUUUUGUCCGGGAAGAAAAGCAUCGGGCUAAUACCUCGGUGUUCUGACGGUACCGGAAGAAUAAGCACCGGCUAACUUCGUG